GUCAGUGUACUAUAGUGGUUUGAGCAUUGGACUGUGUCUCCGGAGACCAGGGUUCAAAUCCCAGCUUGGCCA